rnacentral:misc_RNA from 1 species
AAAACAGAAAAUGGAAUAAAAGUUAUCACGGAUCAUGGCGAGGAGUUGUUGGCAGAUGCUGUGUUGUUUGCGACUGGUCGCGCUCCUAAUUCAAAAAGAUUAAAUUUGAAAGCAGUUGGUGUCGAAGUUGAUAAACAGGGUGCUGUGAAGGUUGAUGAUUAUUCACGCACAACUGUACCUAGUAUCUGGGCUAUUGGAGAUGUUACAAAUAGAAUGAAUCUUACGCCCGUGGCUCUAAUGGAGGGAUCAUACUUUGCCAACACUGUUUUUGGUGGUGAACCUACCAAACCAGACUACAAUUUUGUACCCUAUGCUGUAUUCUGCAUACCUCCUCUCUCUGUUGUGGGCCAAAGUGAAGAAGAGGCUGUAGAGAAAGCAAAGGGUGACAUUCUGGUGUACACAUCUUCGUUCAAUCCAAUGAAGAAUACUAUCUCUGGCCGACAAGAAAAGACAGUAAUGAAGCUCGUGGUUGACGGUGUCACACAAAAGGUCCUUGGCGCAUCGAUGUGUGGGCCCGAUGCACCUGAAAUUAUGCAGGGAGUCGCUGUCGCUCUUAAAUGUGGAGCAACAAAGCAACAGUUUGAUAGCACUGUCGGAAUACACCCAUCUGCUGCAGAGGAGUUCGUGACGAUGCGAAGUGUAACUAGGCGAAUUGAAGCAGGUAGCCAAUUGAAAACAAACCUGUAAACCCACGCCCACACAUUUUACUGGCG